rnacentral:rRNA from 1 species
AUUGAACGCUGGCGGCAUGCCUUACACAUGCAAGUCGAACGGCAGCACGGGUGCUUGCACCUGGUGGCGAGUGGCGAACGGGUGAGUAAUACAUCGGAACAUGUCCUGUAGUGGGGGAUAGCCCGGCGAAAGCCGGAUUAAUACCGCAUACGAUCUACGGAUGAAAGCGGGGGACCUUCGGGCCUCGCGCUAUAGGGUUGGCCGAUGGCUGAUUAGCUAGUUGGUGGGGUAAAGGCCUACCAAGGCGACGAUCAGUAGCUGGUCUGAGAGGACGACCAGCCACACUGGGACUGAGACACGGCCCAGACUCCUACGGGAGGCAGCAGUGGGGAAUUUUGGACAAUUGGCGAAAGCCUGAUCCAGCAAUGCCGCGUGUGUGAAGAAGGCCUUCGGGUUGUAAAGCACUUUUGUCCGGAAAGAAAUCCUUGGCCCUAAUACGGUCGGGGGAUGACGGUACCGGAAGAAUAAGCACCGGCUAACUACGUG